rnacentral:rRNA from 1 species
UACGGGGGGGGCAAGCGUUGUUCGGAAUUACUGGGCGUAAAGGGCUCGUAGGCGGCCAACUAAGUCAGACGUGAAAUCCCUCGGCUUAACCGGGGAACUGCGUCUGAUACUGGAUGGCUUGAAUCCGGGAGAGGGAUGCGGAAUUCCGAGGUGUAGCGGUGAAAUGCGUAGAUAUCUGGAGGAACACCGGUGGCGAAGGCGGCUUCUGGACAGUGACUGACGCUGAGA